rnacentral:rRNA from 1 species
AUGGCUCAGGAUAACGCUGGCGGCGUGCCUAACACAUGCAAGUCGAACGAUCCCGCAAGGGAGAGUGGCGGAAGGGUGAGUAACACGUGGGAAUCUACCUCCUCGCAGGGAACAACCUCUCGAAAGAGAGGCUAAUACCCAAAAGGGUCAGAAAUGAUCAGAGUCGAAAGGCGUGAGGGAGAGGGAGCCCGCGGCCCAUCAGCUAGUUGGUGAGGUAAUGGCUUACCAAGGCUACGACGGGUAGGGGAUCUGAGAGGAUGUCCCCACACUGGAACUGAAACACGGUCCAGACGCCUACGGGUGGCAGCAGUGAGGAAUAUUGGACAAUGGGCGAAAGCCCGAUCCAGCAACGCCGCGUGGAGGAUGAAGGCCUUCGGGUCGUAAACUUCUUUAGAGGGAGACGAGAAAGGACGGUAUCCCUAGAAUAAGCGACGGCAAACUACGUG